rnacentral:lncRNA from 1 species
GCACGGUGACGGGAGGAUCAGAUGAAGAGGAGUCAGCAGUAAUAACGGAAAAGGAAGGCCCAGGGUGAUUGGAGAAAAGCCAGGACAGUGUGAGGACUCUAAGCCCAGCAUUAGAACUUCAAGAAGAAUGGAGAGGUCAACAAUGUCAAAUUCUCCAACAUCUGAGGAAGAGAGCAAGAUGAAAGCAUUGGGUUUAGAAAUGUGAAUGUAAUUGAUGAGCUUGCUAAGGUAGUUUCAGAGGGACGAUAGUGAAAAAACAAAAAGAUAAAGCCUGUGCUCGGUAAAAAUUUAGAGAAAAGGAAAAUUUAAAGUAGGGACUUCGGUGGCUGACUGGUCAUUUUUUGAAAGGCCUCUCGGUGAGGGGAAGGAGAAAGAGAUAAUUGGAGCCAGAGGGACGUGCAAGACUCAAUGUUCUGCGGCGAAAUGCGACGUUCUUUAUUUUAGUGUGUCAUCAAAGGCGAUGAAAAUAUCAUUCUAGCCUUCUAGGCUUAACCCUGUGGACUCUCGAUGACUAGAAGUUUCAUGUGAGCAGCGCACACACCCAGUCAGCGUGAGCAGCAGCACUGGCCCACGCAGGUCCACGGCACGGAAAGGAGAUUCGAUUCACAAAUCUGUUACCCGGACAUUUUUAUUCAUCGCCACGAGAUCAUUACAGCGACAAGCCCACAUCUGACGUUUAUGAUCUUGUUCGCUUUGCCAAAGUGGAGGAGGGGGGCAGACAGCUUGGGGGAUCUACAGCAGGAGGGAAAUGGCACCACUCAGACUCCUGCAAGCUCGUCAGCCACUGCAGGGAUUCUGAAGACCUUUUUUCUCGUCCAGGCUCCGCUGGCUGGUGCCUUCCAGGUUUUCUUUGGAUGCAUGAGGAAGGCUUGGAUAACUUGGAUGUCAGAAGAUCUCCUCUCAUGUUCCCAGCUACUGUCCUAGAAACCAAUCUACCCGUUCCAUUAAGACAGACCUCUGGGCCGGCUGCGGUGGCUCACACCUGUAAUCCCAGCACUUCGGGAGGCCAAGGCGGGCAGAUCACCUGAGGUCGGGAGUUUGAGACCAGCCUGACCAACAUGGAGAAACCCCAUGUCUACUAAAAAUACAAAAAUUAGCCGGGCAUGGUGGCAGAUGCCUGUAAUCCCAGCUACUCGGGAGACUGGGGCAAGAGAAUCUCUUGAACCCGGGAGGCAGAGGUUGCAGUGAGCUGAGAUCACACCACUGCACUCCAGCCUGGGCAACAAGAGUGAAACUCCAUCUCAAAAAUAAAAUAAAAUGAAAAAAAAAAACCCUCUGGUUCUUCUGGAUCUAGACUGUGGUUGUAUGGUUGUCUGAGUAAGACCAAUGUAGGUAUGAUUCGCCUAAACAACCUACCACAAGUUAAAAAAGAGCAGCCUUUAGGCACAAAGACCCAAGUCUUAGGGAGUCUUUGAAAGGAGAAACCAAAAAAUACCUGGGUAUGUUACUUAGGAAUUAUAACAUGCCCAGGUAUUUCAUUGCCCAGUGGAAAAGCCUAGCCAUCUUGUGUCCCAGCUUCAGUUUACUCCCAUUCCCUUUAUCCCAACAAGAUUACCCCUAACCAUGCCUCCCAUUUUAGCUUCCCAGGUUGCUGCUUUCUCUCUCUCUUUCCUUAAGGUUCACAUCUGACUCUCCUCUAAAGUAUGGAUUAAGACCCACAUUAUCCCUUUGCCUGACUGAUUCUGUCGACUAUGAGACACGAUGCUAUGACAGGAAGUACUCCGGCUUGAAGUUAACUGCACUACGGGUUGAAUCCUGAAAUCCUGACUCAGUAGCAUUUUGUCUUUGCCUCCUUUGCCGAGUUUUCUAGCUUCAUAAAAAUGUCAAUUCCCCCAUCUCCCAAAGGCAGGGAAAAACUGAAAUUACAUAGAUAAUAUCAGAUGACAUAUCUAGAUGGACUUGUAGUUGGUGCUCAUUAAAUGUGAAUUCCUCACUGUUUAUAGGCACAACUUGUUUUAUUGCACCUCACCUUAUUGCGUUUUGCAGAUAUAGCAUGUUUUUUACAAACUGAAGGUUUGUGGCAGCCUUGCAUUGAGCAAGUCCAUUAGUGCCAUUUUUCCAAAACCAUGUGCUCAUUCUGUGCCUCAGUGUCAGCGUUUUUAACAAUAAAUUAUUUUUUAAUCAAGGUGUGUACUUUUCUAGAUAUAAUGCUGUUGCACACUUGAUCGACUACAGUAUAAAAUAAACAUAGUUUUCAUAUGUACUGGGAAACCAAAAAAUUGUGUGACUCUUUAUUGCAAUAUUUGCUUUAUUGCAAUAUUUGCUUUGUUGCAGUGAUCUGAAAGCAAACCUGCAGUACCCUGAGGUCUGCCUGUCAAUGCAGAGCUUACAGAUGCACCUUCUUUUGCUCUCCACUUCCUCUAUGAAAGAAAUGCAGAAUGUUUUUCUUCUAUGCCACUUACUAUGGGAAUCAGGCACUUAAUAAACACUGCUAAUCAACAGGAUGGAAGAAUUAACUAAUAAAUCCCUUCACAGAAGCAUGCCAAGUUUUACAUGAUGGCCAAUACGUGACCUCCUUGGGAGACAGGGCAAAAAACUGAAGUUUCUCUUAUUGGGGAAAGUUUCUUCACUCUUCUUCUUCUUCCUCUAGUAAUAAUAAUAUAAUUAAUUAGCAUGGAAACUUCUUUUAAAAAGCUUCCAUACACACUGAUGAGAAAAAUAAGUUUACUAGGAAUAAAGCAGGGUCCAGAAGUAUGAAAGUAUUUAUUUGAAUGGUAUCAUUCCCCACCUCAGGGAGGGUAUCUGUCAUGCAGGAUUGGUCUGGAUAAGUAAGCUAAGGGUUGAAGUGAGUUCAAAAGAGCUGAACCAGGCUGGAAACACAAACGCAAGCUGUGAACAUCACCUGGAGGAGCUCAAAGCACUUCAGUUCUGGUUCUUUCUCUAGACUUUAGAAGAACAAAGGUCACGAAAUUUAUUAUUGGCAAGACUAUAAAUGUCUAAUAAAAAUUACUUGAUUAUGAGCUUUUUUUUUAAAUUUCAGGUUUUACACAAAUACCUAAGCAGAGAGUCUUAGAUUUUUUCUUACUUUGAACAUACUCCCCCAUUUUCCUGGCAAUAUAUUUCCAUGUUUCUUCAAAAAGCCAUUCAAGAGUACUUUAAGUAACAGUUUUAAACCUCCCCCUGUUAAGAAAAUAUAUAAAAUUGCUUAAGAGAAAUGAGAUCGCUUUCUGGCUCCUGUAACAAUUGGGGAUGAUGUUUAACAGCAGAAACCCAGUGGGAGUGCUCAGUCUAAAUUCUGCACAGCCAUGUCAACAACCAAAUUCCUAAGAAUUUCUUCCUCAUUGUCCCAGUGAGGCCGCAGCAGGAUCAGCUACUGGCUGGGCUUUUUGGACACCACCCACCCCCGGCAAUUUACAGCUAGCAAAGAGCUGUAGAUGGAGUGACAGCUGCCCAUGCCAACACAGUCACACAGGACAGGGCAGCUUUCCUACACCUGACUGGGCCUCAGCCUCAUGGACAGGAGUGACAUUACAGAACGUGCAAGGUCUCCAAACAGCCCUUCUCCUCCAGGUCACAUUGUCACCUUUUUUGCUUGUGCCAAAGUCCUUCCCAGAUGUCUAUGCAACGGAAGUAAAAUUUAUACUCGUGGAGCCUUAAAAUGCUGACAUUCCAUGUUUACAGGGAUUGUUUACUCAGAAAAUUAAUCAGUUACGGUUUUAAAUUUUAAUUAAAUAAUGUUUUCCGGUGUUAUUGCAAAACAGGCAAAAGCCCAUAAAAUGUAUGUUUGACUGCUGUUGUGUGUUGUCUUUGGAUCAAGGCACAGUCUUGAGAUCAAUCAUGCAUGAUAUUUUUGUGAACUUUUAACAGGACAAACUUUCACAUAAAUUUGGUUCAUUAAAAUAUGUCCAUCAAAAUAAAAGUCAUUCUGAGAAACUCUCUGGAAUUUCCUUUUUCUUUCUAAUCGGCAACAAAUGAUUUUGUACUUGUCCUGUAAAUAAAAAUAUGGGAGGGAGGUAAGCAGACACUCAGUUGUGCAAUAGACUGCUCUUUGCCAAUGAACCAGAAGUAACUUCAUAGGAAGUUAUCCAUUCCACUCACAUAUUGGUCAAGAGAGAAUUAUUGGUUCAGUGAACAUUGGCAUGGUGAAAAUAUUUUGGUUCCA